rnacentral:rRNA from 1 species
UACGAAGGGGGCUAGCGUUGUUCGGAUUUACUGGGCGUAAAGGGCGCGUAGGCGGCGCGGUAAGUCACUUGUGAAAUCUCUGAGCUUAACUCAGAACGGCCAAGUGAUACUGCAGUGCUAGAGUGUGGAAGGGGCAAUCGGAAUUCUUGGUGUAGCGGUGAAAUGCGUAGAUAUCAAGAGGAACACCUGAGGUGAAGACGGGUUGCUGGGCCAACACUGACGCUGAGGCGCGAAAGCCAGGGGAGCAAACGGG